AUUGUGUUUUCCUUUUACAAGGCAUCUCUAUGCCUUUUGCAGAAGAAUCCAAGUUACAAUCACACCCUUUUUUAUUUUCCUUUUGCAAAUACAAUAAAUCUCUAUGAUCUUGCAGGGAUGUAUCAAGUACCAGUACUGGCAAAGCCCAUCAUUUGAAGAGAUACUUAUGUUACAUAUCCUUUCAUAUCCUUUCAUAUCAUUGCAUAUAAUUACGUCCUCUUC
rnacentral:lncRNA from 1 species